rnacentral:rRNA from 1 species
UGGGGAAUAUUGGACAAUGGGCGAAAGCCUGAUCCAGCCAUGCCGCAUGAGUGAAGAAGGCCUUUGGGUUGUAAAGCUCUUUUAGUGAGGAAGAUAAUGACGGUACUCACAGAAGAAGUCCUGGCUAACUCCGUGCCAGCAGCCGCGGUAAUACGGAGAGGGCUAGCGUUAUUCGGAAUUAUUGGGCGUAAAGGGCGCGUAGGCUGGUUAAUAAGUUAAAAGUGAAAUCCCGAGGCUUAACCUUGGAAUUGCUUUUAAAACUAUUAAUCUAGAGAUUGAAAGAGGAUAGAGGAAUUCCUGAUGUAGAGGUAAAAUUCGUAAAUAUUAGGAGGAACACCAGUGGCGAAGGCGUCUAUCUGGGUCAAAUCUGACGCUGAAGCGCGAAGGCGUGGGGAGCAAACA